GAUGAACGCUGGCGGCGUGCCUAAUACAUGCAAGUCGAGCGAACGGACGAGAAGCUUGCUCCUCUGACGUUAGCGGCGGACGGGUGAGUAACACGUGGAUAACCUACCUAUAAGACUGGGAUAACUUCGGGAAACCGUAGCUAAUACCGGAUAAUAUAUUGAACCGCAUGGUUCAAUAGUGAAAGACGGUCUUGCUGUCACUUAUAGAUGGAUCCGCGCUGCAUUAGCUAGUUGGUAAGGUAACGGCUUACCAAGGCAACGAUGCAUAGCCGACCUGAGAGGGUGAUCGGCCACACUGGAACUGAGACACGGUCCAGACUCCUACGGGAGGCAGCAGUAGGGAAUCUUCCGCAAUGGGCGAAAGCUUGACGGAGCAACGCCGCGUGAGUGAUGAAGGUCUUCGGAUCGUAAAACUCUGUUAUUAGGGAAGAACAAAUGUGUAAGUAACUAUGCACGUCUUGACGGUACCUAAUCAGAAAGCCACGGCUAACUACGUG
rnacentral:rRNA from 1 species